CGAGCGAACGGACGAGAAGCUUGCUUCUCUGAUGUUAGCGGCGGACGGGUGAGUAACACGUGGAUAACCUACCUAUAAGACUGGGAUAACUUCGGGAAACCGGAGCUGAUACCGGAUAAUAUUUUGAACCGCAUGGUUCAAAAGUGAAAGACGGUCUUGCUGUCACUUAUAGAUGGAUCCGCGCUGCAUUAGCUAGUUGGUAAGGUAACGGCUUACCAAGGCAACGAUGCAUAGCCGACCUGAGAGGGUGAUCGGCCACACUGGAACUGAGACACGGUCCAGACUCCUACGGGAGGCAGCAGUAGGGAAUCUUCCGCAAUGGGCGAAAGCCUGACGGAGCAACGCCGCGUGAGUGAUGAAGGUCUUCGGAUCGUAAAACUCUGUUAUUAGGGAAGAACAUAUGUGUAAGUAACUGUGCACAUCUUGACGGUACCUAAUCAGAAAGCCACGGCUAACUACGUGCCAGCAGCCGCGGUAAUACGUAGGUGGCAAGCGUUAUCCGGAAUUAUUGGGCGUAAAGCGCGCGUAGGCGGUUUUUUAAGUCUGAUGUGAAAGCCCACGGCUCAACCGUGGAGGGUCAUUGGAAACUGGAAAACUUGAGUGCAGAAGAGGAAAGUGGAAUUCCAUGUGUAGCGGUGAAAUGCGCAGAGAUAUGGAGGAACACCAGUGGCGAAGGCGACUUUCUGGUCUGUAACUGACGCUGAUGUGCGAAAGCGUGGGGAUCAAAC
rnacentral:rRNA from 1 species